rnacentral:lncRNA from 1 species
UCCACCACUGUGCAUAUUUGAGCACACUGAAUAUGCCAUAUGUAUUUCAAAUACCAUGUAACACAUUGUGCAAAUUACAAAGGGAUCUGAGUUAUCUCAGCACACUACUUGCACACAUCCCACCACUUUACAGAUUACAUUGUCCUAGCACACUACUUGUUGACAUCAGAUCUCGAAAUGACUUCCUUCAUAUUACAAGACAAUAGCAAGACUAUUGAGUAGAAAAAGAAAACAAAGCUACACAUCUGUUCUCACUCAAAACAAACAUGGGAUGAGUUGGUUAUUUCUAACGGCCAUUCUACGAUUGAAUAGAUGAAAGUAGCAGUUUUUCAGCUCUUGAUAGUAAUAUGGACACCAUAAUCAAUUUUGACUGCUGCAAUAUCUGAGUCAGUCACAACAGCAAUAGUGAGAAAUCUAGGGAACAGAGAAUGACUCCUCAUAAGCUUCAAUUUCCUUAGAUCCCACACUUCUGAAAUUAUUAUUACCUGCAAAGUAUAUAUGACAGAGAUGAGAAUACAAAAAUACUAUAAACAAAUUACUCUCAAAAUAACUCUGAAAUACUUGCUGAAUUUUGCCUCAUAUAUACCAACUGCAAAGAGCUUGUUUGUAAAAAUGCAGAAAUGAGCAAUUCAGUAUUUGGCAAACCAGGCUUACUUGUGCAUCGACAUUUUAUAGUAAAAAAUACAGAGGAAAUUAUUUAUUUUGCAGGACCAAAUAUCUGCAUAGGAGUCAAUCACAUGAGACUAAUAAACUUAGAGAAUAGAGGUCAACACAUAUUUAUCUUGGAGAUAUUGCUGACGCAACUAAAACUAAAGAGUUUGCUAGUUUCAGUAAACCGAAGGAGGCUGACCUAAAUCACUAAAUUAGACCCCACCCCCACCCCCACAAUGCAAAACAAGAUAAAUUUGCCAUGACAAAAACAGGUCAUUGUUUACACUUGUAAUCUUGAAUCCAUUAUAAAGUUUGUUGACACCUUUUGUACUGUAUAUGCUGCAUAUGUAGACCUACAUACACCCCCGUUAAUUAGUUGAUGGAAAUACAAACCUCGAGUAGGGAAAUCAAUGCAGCGGCCACGGCAACGAGAUGAAGCGAGGGCUACGGAUGAAAUAGAAAAUGGUAUGGUGACGCCGGCGGCUACAGACUGUCGAUUGAGGUAGCAGUGGCUGCAGAUGACGGAGGGAAUCGACCGAAACAAGCCAAGAGAGAUCGAGCGAACCUUAGCGAAUGAGGCGACCAGCGAAAAAAUAUGCCACAAUUGGAGCAUCUCGAUGGAGAGAAGAGGAGAGAGAUCGAUGCCUCCUGUUUUUUUCGUGAUCCCCUUCGGUGCGAGACAGCCAGCCGUGAGGAGCGAGACAGCUGUGAGCGAGCCUGGCUCUAGAUCGCACAAUCGCCCGCACAUGGAGCCGUCCGCAUCUCUCCAUUGGAUCGUGUGCAAAAUCGGGAGACGGGCUGUACGAUAGACAGGCUGCAGCCCGUCUGCACCAAUUUUUCUUCCAAAUAGUUUGGAGCUGAGGUAGUGCACUGACACGCCAG